rnacentral:rRNA from 1 species
CCUACGGGGGGCAGCAGUGGGGAAUAUUGCACAAUGGGGGAAACCCUGAUGCAGCGACGCCGCGUGAGUGAAGAAGUAUUUCGGUACGUAAAGCUCUAUCAGCAGGGAAGAAAAUGACGGUACCUGACUAAGAAGCCCCGGCUAACUACGUGCCAGCAGCCGCGGUAAUACGUAGGGGGCAAGCGUUAUCCGGAUUUACUGGGUGUAAAGGGAGCGUAGACGGCAGCGCAAGUCUGGAGUGAAAUCCCAUGGCUUAACCAUGGAACUGCUUUGGAAACUGUGCAGCUAGAGUGCAGGAGAGGUAAGCGGAAUUCCUAGUGGAGCGGUGAAAUGCGUAGAUAUUAGGAGGAACACCAGUGGCGAAGGCGGCUUACUGGACUGUAACUGACGUUGAGGCUCGAAAGCGUGGGGAGCAAACAGGAUUAGAUACCCCAGUAGUC